rfam:Brachypodium distachyon strain Bd21 chromosome 3, whole genome shotgun sequence.
AUUCUACUCCCUUUAUCCAACAAAAGAUGUCUCAACUUUGACCAAAUGUGAAUGCAUCUAUAUAUUAAAUCAUGUCUAGAUACAUUCAAAUCUUGACAAUUAAGACAUCUUUUGUUGGACGGAGGAAGUAAUAU